CUGCAGUGUCAAGUCCCCCAAUUAUUUACUUUGCCUGUAAACGUGAUGCACCCACCCACCUUUACUUACUCACUGGCUCUAAAGCCUUUUGUAGUUGCUAUUUCUUGCUUGAGAAUCCCCAGCCCAUAAAGCCUUAGAGGAGCAAAGACAGGCAGAUCCUGGAGAUUGGCAGCCAGCCAGUCGAACUUGAGAGCUCCAGGUCCAGUGGCAUCCGAUCUGAAGGGACUAAGAAGAGUGGAAGAAGAAGACAGUGACAUUGACCUCUGGCCAGCACACAGUAGCAUGCCAGUAUCACUGAAAUGUAGGACCUUCUUAAUCAUUGAUCACCCCUGAGGAACAGGCCCUAAGGUUGACUAAUACCAACCAGUCUUCUGGUAUUAGUGG
rnacentral:lncRNA from 1 species